UUUUGCUUUUCAUCACCUGCAAGAUGUACAUAAAAAUCACAUAAGCUGGAAUUCAACAAAAGACCUCUGACUAUGUGAAGAUACGGUGGGAAGAUGACUGACCGCAAGACAGGAAGAGAGCCCUCACCGAGGAACCAAAUUGGCCAGUAUCUUGAUUUUGGAUUUCUCAACCUCAAGAACCAUGAGAAAUGAAUGUCUGCUGUUCAAGCCACCCAGUCAAUGAAAAAGUUUGGAAACCUUCAUCUAGAAAGUGGUCUAGCAAAGUGUGGUCCAUGGAUGAGUUUGAUCUGCAAACUGCUUGUUAUUGGUUCAUGACAAGGUCUACCAAUUGCAUUUUGAGAGCUCAGAUAAGCAGAGAGCAAUGCAAUUUGUCACAGAAGGAUGAUUAUGUAUAUGCACUGUCAUGUCUAUUUCCAUGCCUAACUCAAAGGAGACACAAGGAGAAAGUGAGCUCAGCCUGGAUAAAUUGGAGAUUGUGAUGACUUCUAGGAAGCCUCAGGAAAGAGAAACAAAGACAACACUGGCCUGCUGCUCUCUGCAAUGGUGGGACCCUUGUGGGAUAACUGUUUUAGGAAUGAAGGUGUCUACCCUCUCUAGAAAUGAAAAUGCAAGUUUGGCUGUGGUUAAGUAUUGGAUGGAGGCAAAAAGAAACUGACAUAUUUUCUUCUUUUCAAUUGUUUGAUUCACCCUGAAGGGCAUGGCUGCUUAAUUUUUUUCUCCAGAGAUAGGUGGACAGAUAAAGACAGGAAAGUAACAUCCACAGACUGCCCUCUGUGAAGGUGACAGUGAUGAAAGGAAUGCUUGAUCUGAACACUGGUAAAUAAAGUGACCGCAUAUUUCCCUAGCCAGGAGAGCAAUCUGGCUCAAAAGAAACGAGAACAAUGACAUUACUGCCAGGCUGCUCCUAAGCCUUUGGCUAUUCUGUUCAGUGCACAAAAAAAAGCAGUGAACAUAGCUGUGACCUGCCUUGUUGGUAGUAUCACAAUUCUUUGGGGCUCCACUUUAAGAAAUUGAGACCUACCUACCUUAAUCCUUGGGGGGUUAAGCUUUCAGACUGGAAUGAUAACUGAACUAUUCAUUUGCAGUAAUUCUGGGUUUUGUGCAUAUUUUAAAAAGGAAUACCGGGCUUGCCUAUAUUCAUUACAACGUCCUCCCAGCUUUCAAAUCUUCCAAUACAAUGCCUCUUCUCUAGUCUUUUAAGCACAUCCUGUGACUGGAUAUGAUUAUGGGAGAUUUACAUGCAUCCUUGUCUAUUGUAUCAAAAGAUCAGGGAAUAAAAUGCCCAUCAUUAAAACCCCAAAGUGAUUGGAUUGGCAUGAGGAAUGGG
rnacentral:lncRNA from 10 species